GAGACUCUGUGCGCGUGCAUAUCAAUAAGCGGAGGAAAAGAAACUAACAAGGAUUCCCUUAGUAACGGCGAGUGAAGCGGGAAGAGCUCAAAUUUGAAAUCUUCAAGGUUUUACCUUGACGAAUUGUAGUUUAAAGAAGUAUUUUCUGUUGAAGUUUUGGUAAAAGUUCUUUGGAAUAGGACAUCAUAGAGGGUGAGAAUCCCGUAUUUGACCAUUACUUUCCAGCUGUGUGAUACACUUUCAGAGAGUCGGAUUGUUUGGGAAUGCAGUCCAAAAUGGGUGGUAAAUUUCAUCUAAAGCUAAAUAUUGGCGAGAGACCGAUAGCGAACAAGUACCGUGAGGGAAGAUGAAAAGAACUUUGAAAAGAGAGUUAAACAGUACGUGAAAUUGUCAAAAGGGAAGCGUUUGACACCAGUGUUGUUUUUCUCGAAAAUCAAUUAAACUGAUGGAUUUUGUUUUGAGGAGUUAUGACUUCAUCAGCUUUCUGCACUUUCUUUACUAUCUUUCUUAAUGCACUUUUCGUUUAACAAGUCAACAUCAAUUUCUUUUGUUGUAAAAGAGUCAUGAGGAAGGUGGCUUUUCUUUCGGAGAAAGUGUUUAUAGCCUUGUGCCUCUGCAAUCGGAGAGAUUGAGGUCUGCAGGCGUAGAUCCUUCGGGGUUAGAUACAGUUUGUGCUAAGUUAUAGCCUUUCAUAGACAACUUGUUGACUAUGAUCAGUCAUGUAGCUUACUCGCGUGAUGCUAUUUUACCUACGCUUAGGAUGUUGAGUCGUAGAGCACGCAG
rnacentral:rRNA from 1 species